rnacentral:rRNA from 1 species
UACCAGCUCUUCGAGUGGUGUGGAUGUUUAUUGGGCCUAAAGCAUCCGUAGCUGGCUGGGCAAGUCCCCUGUUAAAUCCACCGAUUUGAUCGUUGGAGUGCGGGGGAUACUGUUCGGCUAGGGGACGGGAGAGGCAGACGGUAUUUUCGGGGUAGGGGUGAAAUCCUAUAAUCCCGGGAAGACCACCAGUGGCGAAGGCUGUCUGCUAGAACGCGCCCGACGGUGAGGGAUGAAAGCUGGGGGAGCGAACCGGAUUAGAUACCCGGGUAGUCCCAGCUGUAAACGAUGCAGGCUAGGUGUAUGGGCGGCCACGUGCCGCUCUAGUGCCGCAGGGAAGCCGUUAAGCCUGCCGCCUGGGGAUACGGCCGCAAGGCUGAAACUUAAAGGAAUUGGCGGGGAGCACCACAAGGGGUGAAGCUUGCGGUUU